rnacentral:rRNA from 1 species
AUUGAACGCUGGCGGCAGGCCUAACACAUGCAAGUCGAGCGGAAACGAGAAUAGCUUGCUAUUCGGCGUCGAGCGGCGGACGGGUGAGUAAUGCCUGGGAAAUUGCCCUGAUGUGGGGGAUAACCAUUGGAAACGAUGGCUAAUACCGCAUAAUAGCUUCGGCUUAAAGAGGGGGACCUUCGGGCCUCUCGCUUCAGGAUAUGCCCAGGUGGGAUUAGCUAGUUGGUGAGGUAAAGGCUCACCAAGGCGACGAUCCCUAGCUGGUCUGAGAGGAUGAUCAGCCACACUGGAACUGAGACACGGUCCAGACUCCUACGGGAGGCAGCAGUGGGGAAUAUUGCACGAUGGGCGCAAGCCUGAUGCAGCCAUGCCGCGUGUAUGAAGAAGGCCUUCGGGUUGUAAAGUACUUUCAGCAGUGAGGAAGGGUGUGUAGUUAAUAGCUGCAUACUUUGACGUUAGCUGCAGAAGAAGCACCGGCUAACUCCGUGCCAGCAGCCGCGGUAAUACGGAGGGUGCGAGCGUUAAUCGGAAUUACUGGGCGUAAAGCGCAUGCAGGUGGUUUGUUAUGUCAGAUGUGAAAGCCCGGGGCUCAACCUCGGAACCGCAUUUGAAACUGGCAGGCUAGAGUACUGUAGAGGGGGGUAGAAUUUCA